rnacentral:lncRNA from 1 species
AACCCCAUAACCCACGCAGCCCCACACCCACAAUUGCUGAAACCGUAAAAAAAAAACAAUUCUUUUCUCUCUCUGUGCUCGUUGCUUUCUUUCUUCUCCUGUGCGCAGCUUUGGUUCUUUUCUCUUCUCUUCAAUUUUCUUUCUUCUUCAAAGGAAACAAAAUACUACACAAUACCCCCACCAUCAAAUAGACGUUGGUGAAGAGAAAUUAUCUUGCAAGUGGAAAAGAUGUUGGGCAUGGUUUUGGGAGAUAGGGUUUGUGCUAAAGAAUGAGAAGAGUACCCACCGCUUCACGAUUACUCAGUCGGGUUAUUGAGGUAUAUCUAUCACUUAUAGAUUUAAAGAAUGAUAUUAUAGUAUAUGUUAGACUUGAGUAGGAUUAUUUUAGGGGUUUGGGUACAUAAUUGGGGAUUUCAUAGUUGCUCACGGGUAGUACGACAUAAGAUAAUUGUUGCUGAAGGUUUGAAGUUGAUUUUUGGUGUUCAGAUCUGCCGGUUAGUGGUUCGUUUGGUUGUCGCGCAGUUGUGGAGAGCAAUCAUGUUGGUUCUUCGUAACGGUGAGUGGUUUUCAAAUGCUAUGACAUAUUUUUAACAGUCUUAUAACUGAUUUAAUUACUUUAACAUGUGACCUAUUUAUCUAAAUUGGGGAAACGUGUUUUAGUAUGUUUGACUAUCAUUCUUGAACUCUGAAAGCUGAUUUUAUGAAACUGAUUUUGAGCAUGUUUUAUGAAUUGGUAUGAGAAGAGAAUGACAUUGGGUUAAUUUGGAAAUUAUGUGAAAUUGAGAUUGUGAACUUGAAAAGCUUUGAUGAGCAUUGAAAAGUUGAUAUUGAGAAUGUUAUUUUGAAAAGCUUUGAUGAGCAUUUGAAAAUGAUUUUGAGACUGUUGAUGAGACUUGUAUUGGUUUGAGAAAACGGUUUUGGGGAUCCUUGAUAGAACCCCGUAGCCGUUAGCGGAGGUAACGGCCUAGGUGCACCUAGCUAGUUUGAUUCCGGGAGGAGAAGGCUAUCCGUUAGAUGAAGCCGCCAGUGCACGGAAAGGGCUAUCAACGAGAUGAAGCUUCCCCCGAUGAGAUUGAUGAGAUAUGACAUGAUUUCGGGUGGAGAGGGCUAUCCGUUAGAUGGAGCCGCCUCUUGGGUAAGAUAAUCCUUAAGAGGAAAGGGCUAUCAAUGAGAUGUAGCUUCCCCCGAUGACACGAUGUGACUUGAGAAAGGAAAGGGCUAUCCGCUAGAUGGAGCCACCCCUAUCGGAGAGGCCAUCCCUUAGGAGGAGAGGGCUAUCAGCGAGAUAGAGUCGCCUCAUGGUUCUACAUGUGUGACCCUAUUAAUUAUAUUUCUGAUUUUAUGUUUUUCAUAUCUGUGCAUGAUUUUAACUGUAUUUAUUUGAAAUGGUUAUUUAUGAACUUUAUGAUUUUUGUCAAGUUCAUAGUUGAAAUGAUUUAAACUGGUAUUAUUGAUGAUAUAAAUUGUUUAUACUGAGCUAAGAGCGAAAAACUCGUGCCUAGUUUGUUUCCCCUUCCUGUUCAUGGUGGUUGUUGACUGCUCACUAAGUCUUUGUGACUUACCCCAUUCAUUAUUUCCCUUCACAGAUUUUCAGGCAGCUUAGUAGCAGACUGUUGUCAGAUUCAGAUCAUUCGACUUAUUUCCUUUAGCAGGUUGUCAUAGUGGUGUCUUUUAUUUAAUCCUGGUUAUCUGCAGCUAUAGGGAGUCCUAGGUGGAUUUAGAUUUGGGAUUGUGAUUUAUUGUUAUAUUUUAAGAGUUGGCACUUGAGUGCUCGAGUUGGUUUUAUAUUUCACUUAAAAUACUGGUUAUGGUAGAACUCAUUGGCAGAUGUUGUUAAUUUGUAACUAUUGGAAUUACAAAAGAGAUUCUAGUGUUUUUAUAUAUGUGUACAAAGAUAUUUUGAAUAAAUUGUUUGGAAAAUGAUUCUAUGAGGAAGAGGCUUGCCAGGCUAGGGUGGUAGUCUGUGCGCCGGUCACGGCUUAGGAUUUUGGGUCAUGACAAUAGGGUUACUCUGUCUUGAUUAUUGGAUUUGAAAUUGUUGAUAUAUAUUUGUGCAUAUGCGUUGUUGGAUUGUACUGUGUGGCCUUCGUGGCGUUAUUAAGUGGCGAUCAGGAGGUGUGGUCCUAUGAUUGUCCCGUCUUGUGAGACGUUAUAAGUGGCGAUGAGGAGGUGUGGUCCUAUCAUUGUCCCGUCUUGUGAGACGUUAUAAGUGGCGAUGAGGAGGUGUGGUCCUAUCAUUGUCCCGUCUUGUGAGACGUUAUAAGUGGCGAUGAGGAGGUGUGGUCCUAUCAUUGUCCCGUCUUGUGAGACGCUAAGUGGCGAUCAGGACGUGUGGUCCUAUGAUUGUCCCGUCUUGUGAGACGUUAUAAGUGGCGAUGAGGAGGUGUGGUCCUAUCAUCGUCCCGUCUUUUAAGACGUUAUUGAUUGACUCAUAUUGUUGGUUUUAUUGUCAUCUGAUAUGUUAAGUGGUUGAUAGCUGAGUUAAUCUAUAUUGUUGAGGUUGUUGAUAUCUAGUUUGAUUUAUAUUGUUGAGGAUUAUUGAUAUCUGAUUUGAUGUUAUAUUGUUGAGAAUUAUUGAUAUCUGAUUUGUCGUUAUAUUGUUGAGGAUUAUUGAUAUCUGAUUUGUCGUUAUAUUGUUGAGAAUUAUUGAUAUCUGAUUUGUCGUUACAUUGUUGAGGAUUGUUGAUGCCUGAAUAAAUGUUAUGAUGUUAAGUUGUUGAUAUAUGAGUUGAGUUAUGAUGCUAGUUCAUUUACCAUGCUAGGUCAUUAAAUUUGAAUAGCAUGAUUUUCUCUUUUAUACAUGGUAAUUGCAUGGAGUUAACCCUUUCUAUUUGCUACUUGUUAUUUGGGCGCUUAACGCUAUUAGGCGAUGGAGAUCCUUCCGCCGAGGCUUAGCUGCUCGAGUUGGAGAUCGAGUCGUAAGCGGUGGAGUAGAGGUGUGAGAAGCAGCUUUGCUUCUCUUCUUGUGGAUUAUGUUUGAGUCUCCCUUUCUUUAAGAGAACUCUGUUAUUAAAGCCUUGCUUCCGCCACUGUUAAAGUGCGC